rnacentral:tmRNA from 1 species
GGGGCUGCAUUUAGCUUAGACGUGUGGACAUUGACAUUCUAUUUACGCGAGCCGUUUUAUCUGGCGUUACCGGAUUAAAUUACAAAUGCAACUGCAUUUUCACGGGCAAAAGCCUCAGUGAGUAACUUUGCUACUUUCGUAGCGAACGCUUUCACUGUUCCAGCUUUUGCUGCUGCACGAGUUUAAUUACUCGUGUCCAUCGAGUUCCUGAUUCCCUUUAAGGAUAAGAACCCGCCAUUCGGCUUAUCAAUCUACUGCAACAACCCUUUUGCGUUAGAAUUCAAUUUUUCUUUAUCAAUGUACUUUUAGUACAUUUCCUAAAUAAGAAAUAUGAAUUCUAAUUCCAGCAAAAAAGCUGUCUCGUAACGAUGAUAAGUCGAAUGGCGGGUUCGACUCGGUGCUAUAUUAGAGGGAUGCUCUACUUAUUCGCCACCUGUGUUUAAGUAGCUAAGAUUAUCAGGUUGGCUGAUUUAACAUUUUUGUUUGUUCUAAAGUUAAUUCAGCGAGAUAUAUAGAAUAAACUACGCUCGUAGAGGAAUAGAUGUCACCACACGGACGCGGGUGCGAUUCCCGCCAGCUCCACCA